rnacentral:misc_RNA from 1 species
ACUCCGUGGCUACCUCCAGCCGCGGACAGACCGUUCUACGACCGCCGCCAUGAUGAUGGAGACAAAGAGCCCGGAUACUGUCCGGAGUUUUACCAUCACUUACACCCCCCGCGCCUGCAAAACCGGCGGCAUUUUGGCUCAGCUUUGCAUCAGAUGUGGGGGAUACAGCGCAUCAAACCACGACUACUGUAUUCAGUGCGUCGAGAGCCUAAAAAAGACAUGCUGUCAUUUCAGAAGUUAUUCAAUAAAACAGAAGCCGGAGAAGAGAUUGGAAAAUAAAAAAGUGGAGAAGAAAGAGAACAGAACCAAGUUCUGUGCCGGGUGUAAGAUGUCUGAUGUAGGAACCAGUGGGGGUCUGUGUCUGAUCUGUGUGGCCAAGAGACGGGAGAAAGAGCGCCAAAAGAACCUGCAUAGGAAUGACUUGAAGGACCUCCAUUUUUCGGCCAAAACUUCAUAAUUGAGAUUCUAAGAUAGAUCUGACUGUAAAUUUGUGGACCAUUCAGCCUCCUUACCUUAAUGCUCUCUGAUAUGGUGAAUAUUUGUUUAGUUUGGUAGCGGAGAUCUAAUCAGACCUUUCUCAGAGCCUUUGAAAGAUGAUUCUUGGAAAAAAGACUGGCGAUGCAUUGUAUGUCUUCAACGUGUAAGACCAGAGAAAAAGCCAACAUGUUAUGGCUGUGAAAUCAAGCAGAUGUUGUUGGCAAGGAAACAGAGUGUAGAUGAUAUAGCAAAAGAUUUGGAAAAGUAUAAGCUGGAGGCAAAGGGUGUCAAAGAUGAAUUCCUCUCCUCUGAACCAACCGAGGAUGACACUAAAUGGGAAAUAUCAUUUGAGGCUAGGAAAAAGUCUCUGGAGGAAAUUAAAAAAUCCAUUAGUCAAAUGAGUCCAUCCAAGAGACAAGACGUGACCAAGCAGAGAGAGGCUGUGCAGUAUGUGGACGACCUGAUCACCAAAUGUCAGACGCACUUCAAUGGCAAAAGACGAAAAACCACAGAGGACUGAUGAAAAGAAAUGUAGAUAUCUAAGUUUUAGUCCAUAAAGCCUGACUGCUGCAGUUGUAGACUACAUGUAUUAGAACUCUAUACCACAACUCACACACCUUGGUUUUAUCAUUAAGACUGUAGACUCUAUGAAUUAACCCCCAUUAAUCAAUCAGAAACAAGAUGAACUACAUGUAUAUUAAUAUACCCAUGAUAUGUGUUGUUUGUUUGUCCAAAAUUGUCAUUGUCAUCAAGAUGAAACUUUUGUAAAUCAAGAGAUAUUUUACCUUUCAGUUACUUUUUUGAAUUUUAAAAAGAACCAUUUGUUUAAACUUU